rnacentral:tRNA from 1 species
UUUUAGCUCAGCAGGUAGAGCAGCAGGCUUUUAAUCUGAAGGCCGUGGGUUCGAGCCCCUCAAGG